AGUUUGCAUUUGGUAAACCUGGCUU
rnacentral:piRNA from 1 species